ensembl:snRNA U6 U6 spliceosomal RNA
GUACUUGCUUUGGCAGCACAUAUACUGAAAAUGGAACCCUACAGAAAAGAUCAGCAUGGCCCCUGCACAAGGAUGACAGGCAAAUCCGUGCAGUGUUCCAUGUUUUU